rnacentral:rRNA from 1 species
AUACGUAGGGUGCAAGCGUUAUCCGGAAUCACUGGGUGUAAAGGGAGUGUAGGCUGGCACUUGCGUCAGAGGUUAAAUCCCCGAGCUUAACUCGGGAACCGCCUUUGAUACGGGGUGUCUUGAGUAUGAGAGAGGAUGAUGGAAUUCCUGGUGUAGCAGUGAAAUGCGUAGAUAUCAGGAGGAACACCGGUGGCGAAGGCGGUCAUCUGGCUCAUUACUGACGCUGAGGCUCGAAAGCGUGGGGAUC